rnacentral:rRNA from 1 species
AUUGAACGCUGGCGGCAUGCCUUACACAUGCAAGUCGAACGGUAACAGGUCUUCGGAUGCUGACGAGUGGCGAACGGGUGAGUAAUGCAUCGGAACGUGCCCAGUAGUGGGGGAUAGCCCGGCGAAAGCCGGAUUAAUACCGCAUACGACCUGAGGGUGAAAGGGGGGGAUCGCAAGACCUCUCGCUAUUGGAGCGGCCGAUGUCAGAUUAGCUAGUUGGGGGGGUAAAGGCCUACCAAGGCAACGAGCUGUAGUUGGUGUGAGAGGACGACGAGCCAGACUGGGUCUGAGACACGGCCCAGAUUCCUACGGGAGGCAGCAGUGGGGAAUUUUGGACAAUGGGGGCAAGCCUGAUCCAGAAAUGCCGCGUGCAGGAAGAAGGCCUUCGGGUUGUAAACUGCUUUUGUCAGGGAAGAAAUCUUCUGGGUUAAUACCUCGGGAGGAUGACGGUACCGGAAGAAUAAGGACCGGCUAACUACGUGCCAGCCGCCGCCGUAACAC